rnacentral:rRNA from 1 species
AGUGAACGCUGGCGGUAGGCCUAACACAUGCAAGUCGAACGGCAGCACAGUAAGAGCUUGCUCUUACGGGUGGCGAGUGGCGGACGGGUGAGGAAUACAUCGGAAUCUACUUUUUCGUGGGGAAUAACGUAGGGAAACUUACGAUAAUACCGCAUACGAUCUACGGGUGGGAGCAGGGGAGAUUCGGGCCUUGCGUGUUUGAAUGAGCCGGUGCCGGGUUAGCUAGUUGGUGGGGUAAAGGCCCACCAAGGCGACGAUCCGUAGCUGGUCUGAGAGGAUGAUCAGCCACACUGGAACUGAGACACGGUCCAGACUCCUACGGGAGGCAGCAGUGGGGAAUAUUGGACAAUGGGCGCAAGCCUGAUCCAGCCAUACCGCGUGGGUGAAGAAGGCCUUCGGGUUGUAAAGCCCUUUUGUUGGGAAAGAAAAUCAGCAGGUUAAUACCCCGCUGUUCUGACGGUACCCAAAGAAUAAGCACCGGCUAACUUCGUG